rnacentral:rRNA from 1 species
CAGGAUUAGAUACCCUGGUAGUCCACGCAGUAAACGAUGAUAACUCGUUGUCGGCGAUACACAGUCGGUGACUAAGCGAAAGCGAUAAGUUAUCCACCUGGGGAGUACGUUCGCAAGAAUGAAACUCAAAGGAAUUGACGGGGGCCCGCACAAGCGGAGGAACAUGUGGUUUAAUUCGAUGAUACGCGAGGAACCUUACCCGGGCUUGAAAGUUAGCGACGAUUCUUGAAAGAGGAUUUCCCUUCGGGGCGCGAAACUAGGUGCUGCAUGGUUGUCGUCAGCUCGUGCCGUGAGGUGUCGGGUUAAGUCCCAUAACGAGCGCAACCCCUACCGUUAGUUGCCAUCAGGUCAAGCUGGGCACUCUGGCGGGACUGCCGGUGUAAGCCGAGAGGAAGGUGGGGAUGACGUCAAAUCAGCACGGCCCUUACGUCCGGGGCUACACACGUGUUACAAUGGUAGGUACAGAGGGUAGCUACCCAGCGAUGGGAUGCGAAUCUCGAAAGCCUAUCUCAGUUCGGAUUGGAGGCUGAAACCCGCCUCCAUGAAGUUGGAUUCGCUAGUAAUCGCGCAUCAGCCAUGGCGCGGUGAAUACGUUCCCGGGCCUUGUACACACCGCCCGUCAAGCCAUGGGAGCCGGGGGUGCCUGAAGUUCGUGACCGCAAGGAGCGACCUAGGGCAAAACUGGUGACUGGGGCUAAGUCGUAACAAGGUAGCCGUACCGGAAGGUGCGGCUG